rnacentral:rRNA from 1 species
GACGAACGCUGGCGGCGUGCCUAAUACAUGCAAGUAGAACGCUGAAGGAGGAGCUUGCUUCUCUGGAUGAGUUGCGAACGGGUGAGUAACGCGUAGGUAACCUGCCUGGUAGCGGGGGAUAACUAUUGGAAACGAUAGCUAAUACCGCAUAAUAGUAGAUGUUGCAUGACAUUUGCUUAAAAGGUGCAAUUGCAUCACUACCAGAUGGACCUGCGUUGUAUUAGCUAGUUGGUGGGGUAACGGCUCACCAAGGCGACGAUACGUAGCCGACCUGAGAGGGUGAUCGGCCACACUGGGAAUGAGACACGGCCCAGAAGCCUACGGGAGGCAGCAGUAGGGAAUCUUCGGCAAUGGACGGAAGUCUGAACGAGCAACGCCGCGUGAGUGAAGAAGGGUUUCGGAUCGUAAAGCUCUGUUGUAAGAGAAGAAAGAGUGUGAGAGUGGAAAGUUCACACUGUGACGGUAUCUUAACAGAAAGGGACGGCUAACUACGUG